rnacentral:misc_RNA from 1 species
GGAGCACAGUGGAUAUCGAUUCUUGUGGUCCGUACGCCGACCACCACCUCCGGGUAAACUAGCAUCUCCUAGUGACUAUGAGAAUCCGCAAGAGGUAUUGCCGGAAGGAUUUUUGGAACGAACUGCUGCGAUUGGAAAAGUAAUAGGAUGGGCUCCACAAGCUGCUAUCUUAGCUCAUCCAGCCGUAGGAGGAUUUGUAUCACACUGUGGGUGGAAUUCUGUGCUGGAGAGCCUAUGGUUUGGUGUUCCAAUUGCCACGUGGCCAAUUUAUGCUGAGCAACAAUUUAAUGCC